rnacentral:misc_RNA from 1 species
UUCUAUCAACAAAAAUGAGGCACAGUAUUUGCCUAGCUCCUCCAAAUGAUAGGAAAAGUUGAAGCAGUUCAUAUAAUUUUGGAGAUAUGUAGCCGAAAACUACUGCCUUUAAGAAAUCAAAAUCAAGAUCCAAAAGAAAAUUAUCACAAUGUGGCAAGGACUCGCCAAUUAGGCUCAACACUUCCUCAAGGAAAUAUCUAUGUUGUAGAGAAAUUUCUCUAUAAAUCACACAAUCCUCAGUGGAGUUGGGAGCACUCUGCAAGCAAACUUUGACAGCCUCAUAAGCACAUAUGAGGCCUAGAUCUUCAAGGCAAUUCAAAAUCUUUGCAUGGUCAUUGGACAGCCUCUGUCUCAGUGUCCUAAUUUUAUCAUCAAUGUCCUUGUAACCGCUUUGUAUUGACCCUUGCAAACUUAGCAUUGAAGCAUCAAACUUGGACCAUGAUGCUUCAAUCUUGGAUUUCAAUUCUGAACUAUAACACUGUGCUUUGUCAUAAAAUCUACAUGUUUCUCUCGCAGAGGGAACAUGGAUGUCCAUUUCUGUCCUGUCUUCGAUAGUAUAAACCUGCGAAUCCAAAAUGCUCUCAAGUUCUGAUAUUUGAUCCUCACAAUCCAUAGUGGAAGAGACACCUUUUCUAACAACAGGUGAUGCUGUCAUUCCAAAAAUCUUUGGCUUGUUACUCAACUUGUGAUAGAAUUCCUUCAUUAUUUUUGUGUAGGGAUGAUUACCAGUAGCACGAUGGCACUCAUCAAUUAUCAUCAAGGAUACCAUAUCUAGAUUCAAGAAUGCCUUUCUUAAAGCAUCCAAAAGGAUUUGAGGUGUCAUAACCAAUACGUCAUGCUCAUCAAUCUCCUUUUCCCAUAACUUCAAAGUCCAUCCAUCUACCCCCUUGGCUCCAUAAUACGCUCCUGCAUCAAAGCUUGUAUUCGCUUUAAUAACCUCAUAUUGCUGGUUGACAAGAUGAACUGUUGGCGCUAAGAAAAGAAUCAAUUUUUUAUGGUCAGUAAACUUGAUAGCUUGACCAAUUUCUUUAAUCAGCAUUACUGCGAUCAUUGUUUUUCCAGCACCAGUCUCCAACACUGCUAUAGUGUUCCUCUUCAUAGCCACCUCGAAAACCUUCAAUUGGUAGCUUCUGGGAUUGAAGUCCUUAGAAUUGAUUAAAGAAACUGGUUCUUGGAUAGCAGCAUCUUCCAGACAAUUCAAACCCAAAUCGUCAGAUGAGUUGUUGGGAUUGACUACAGAAGCUGGUUCUUGGAUAGCAGAAUCUCGAUGUUCCAGACCAUUCAAACCAAAAUCAAGAGACUCUAGUGAGUUGCUCAUGUCACUGAAGCUUCUCUUGAGAGGAUUAAGGUCCGCCAUUGGAAUGUCGAAGAUGAAAAUAUAAAAAACAAUGAGGGGGACGAAAAAGGAAAAAAGAGGAACAAAAAAAAAACGUUCUUUGUAUCAAGAUUCUCUCCCCGUACGACACCCUCUUUAUGAACGGAGUAAAGAAAAGAAAACACGACCAACGUGAAGAACUGAAGAAGGGAAACAAGAAUUGGGCUGUUAAGUGGUGGAAGGAUCAAGAAUGGUCAAUUCUUGCAUCCAACCCACUGUUGUACUGUGUUUUCUUGAGGGUUUUCCCUUGC